rnacentral:rRNA from 1 species
AGAGUUUGAUCAUGGCUCAGGAUGAACGCUGGCGGCGUGCCUAACACAUGCAAGUCGAACGAAGCACCUUUUAAGAUUCUUCGGAUGAUUGAUCGGUGACUGAGUGGCGGACGGGUGAGUAACGCGUGGGUAACCUGCCCUGUACAGGGGGAUAACAGUUGGAAACGGCUGGUAAUACCGCAUAAGCGCACGAGAGGACAUCCUUUCGUGUGAAAAACUCCGGUGGUACAGGAUGGGCCCGCUGUUUGAUUAGCUGGUUGGCAGGGUAACGGCCUACCAAGGCGACGAUCAGUAGCCGGUCUGAGAGGAUGAACGGCCACAUUGGAACUGAGACACGGUCCAAACUCCUACGGGAGGCAGCAGUGGGGAAUAUUGCACAAUGGGGGAAACCCUGAUGCAGCAACGCCGCGUGAGUGAAGAAGUAUUUCGGUAUGUAAAGCUCUAUCAGCAGGGAAGAUAAUGACGGUACCUGACUAAGAAGCUCCGGCUAAAUACGUGCCAGCAGCCGCGGUAAUACGUAUGGAGCAAGCGUUAUCCGGAUUUACUGGGUGUAAAGGGUGCGUAGGUGGCAGUGCAAGUCAGAUGUGAAAGGCCGGGGCUCAACCCCGGAGCUGCAUUUGAAACUGCAUAGCUAGAGUACAGGAGAGGCUGGCGGAAUUCCUAGUGUAGCGGUGAAAUGCGUAGAUAUUAGGAGGAACACCAGUGGCGAAGGCGGCCUGCUGGACUGUUACUGACACUGAGGCACGAAAGCGUGGGGAGCAAACAGGAUUAGAUACCCUGAUAGUCCACGCCGUAAACGAUGAAUACUAGGUGUCGGGGCCGUAUAGGCUUCGGUGCCGUCGCA